CUUGCACGUGGGGCUGAGGGGAAGGUGCGCGAGGGAGCGGUGCCACAGGCGCCGGCGCUGUACCCUUUCUGUUCGGCACGCCGGGGGCUGGGGCACAGCGGGGCGCAGCAGUGACCCGGGACAGGACCCUUCCCCUUUUUACACGGGAGCUGCCCUCUUGCUGUGAGGAGGCAGGUCCUGGCUCACAUCCCAAGUUGGUUGUGAGGACAAGAUGGAGGUUUUUCAAAGCAUAUGGGCAUCUCUGGGGACACAUAGCCCGUGGUAUGCACCCAGCAUUUAAACCAGAGCCCUUAGUUGUGUGAGUGGGUCUCUCCUGCAGAUCCCCACACUUUGCAGUCAACGUUUUGAUAACUUUAUUGAUCGCAUUUAUCUUAGUACAGCAGAUACUACAGCAGCGGUCAAGGCUCACUUUGAGCGCAGAGGUUUGCAGUGGAUGCUGCACAUGCAAGGAGGGCGACGCAGCUGGCAGCCCAAAGACAUGGCAGUCUGUAAUGAUGCUCUUCUUCAGGGGCAAUCCCUUCAUCAUGUUUUCAGUUCUGUCCCGAGUCAGGCCAGGCAGAGCCCAGAGCCCAGUAUCCCGGCUGCAGCCAUCUGCGCCGAAUCCUUGAUGCUGAUGGAGUCAUAUGCCCUUAAACAAAAUGAGAGACAUACAGAAGUUACAUGAUAGAGCUUUGUAUGGGAACACAGACAAUAUGCAUGUCUGUAUGCAGCUUGGAGAACAGUAUGAAUGUAAUUUUCUCUGUAUGGCAUCCACAGGGGCCCUUGGACAUUUGGAUACAUAAAGAAGCUGUUUUUAUCUCCUUGGCCAAAAUGAUCAGUCCCUGGAAUAAGCAGGUAAAAAAGCAUGAUGUUCAGCGUGCUGUUAGUUUACCUUCACCACGUGAUAUUCAGUUUGCUUUUAAAAUGCUUACACUGUGGCUGCCCCUUUGGCUGCCUGUGCUGCUAGUGGUGAUGGG
rnacentral:lncRNA from 1 species